rnacentral:tRNA from 1 species
GGGGAUUUAGCUCAGUGGUAGAGCGCUUGCCUAGGAAGCGCAAGGCCCUGGGUUCGAUCCCCAGCUCCN